rnacentral:rRNA from 1 species
AGAGUUUGAUCAUGGCUCAGGACUAACGCUGGCGGCGUACCUAAUCUAUGCAAGUUUUUGUUUUUUCGGGCUUGCCCGAAGAGACAAGGCAGACGAGUGAGUAAUAUGUAGGAACUAACCCUUGAUUCAAGAAUAACUCCGAGAAAUCGGAGAUAAUACUUGAUGGUCUCGCAAGAGUAAAGCUUCGGCGAUCAAGGACAGGCCUGCAUCCUAUCAGCUAGUUGGUAAGGUAAUGGCUUACCAAGGCUAUGACGGGUAGGGGGCGUGAGAGCGUGUACCCCCACGAUGGCACUGUGACACGGGCCAUACACCUACGGGUGGCAGCAAGUAGGAAUAUUGCACAAUGCCCUAUUUUUAGGGUGAUGCAGCGACGCCGUGUGCGGGAAGAAGGAUUUCGGUCUGUAAACCGACGUUAAAAAGGAGCGGCUAACUUCGUGCCAGCAGCAGCGGUAAUACGGGGGCUCCAAGCGUUGUCCGGUAUCAUUGGGCGUAAAGAGUUAUGUAGGCGGUCUUAUAAGUUACUGGUUAAAUCUCCCGGCUCAACCGGGAAUCUGCUUGUAAUACUGUAAGACUAGAGAUAAUCAGGGGAAGAUAGAACGCAUGGUGUAGCGGUAAAGUGCUUUGAUAUCAUGCGGAAUACUAAAGGCGUAGGCAGUCUUCUGGGAUUUUUCUGACGCUGAGAUACGAAAGCGUGGGGAGCAAAACGGAUUAGAUACCCGUGUAGUCCACGCCGUAAACUAUGUUCACUAGAUCCGUGCACCAAUUCAUUGGUGUGCGAGUCGCAGCUAACGCGUUAAGUGAACCGCCUGGGAAGUACGGCCGCAAGGCUAAAACUCAAAGGAAUUGACGGG